AAAAAGGGGAAAAUAAAAAGAGGUGGAAAUUAAAUAAAGAGAGAGAUUGUGUAGAAAAUAUAAAAGAGGAAAAUUAAAUGAAGAGAGAUUAUGUGGGAGCCACAUGUAUUUGUGUUUGUAUUUGUGUUUAAAAUUGUGUUCAAAUAUCAUUGCUCUUUUAGUUUUUUAUUUAAAAAAGUGAUACAUAUAGUAUCAUUCUUUGAAUCAUUUAAUUUUUUGUUAGAAGGAGCACUUUCGGAGUUUGUCAUGGAGCAGAGCUCAACAUAUAUUUUUUUUAAUAAUUUGUUUCUUUUAUAGUAAUUAUUAUUAGGUUU
rnacentral:lncRNA from 1 species